rnacentral:rRNA from 1 species
CAAUAGCGUAUAUUUAAGUUGUUGCAGUUAAAAAGCUCGUAGUUGGAUUUCGGGUGGGACGCAGCGGUCUCGCAUUGCGUUUGUACUGCUGCAGCCCUCCUUCUUGCCGGGGGCGGCCUCUCGGACUUCACUGUCUGGGGGUCAGAAUCGGCGAUGUUACUUUGAGUAAAUUAGAGUGUUCAAAGCAAGCUUACGCUCUGAAUAUAAUAGCAUGGGAUAACACGAUAGGACUCUGGCUUAUCUUGUUGGUCUGUGAGACCAGAGUAAUGAUUAAGAGGGACAGUCGGGGACAUUCGUAUUUCAUUGUCAGAGGUGAAAUUCUUGGAUUUAUGAAAGACGAACUUCUGCGAAAGCAUUUGUCAAGGAUGUUUUCAUUAA